GCAUUGCUGAUGAGACCCAAAUAGAUCGAAACAGUUGUAUAAUGC
rnacentral:hammerhead_ribozyme from 1 species